rnacentral:rRNA from 1 species
GACGAACGCUGGCGGCGUGCUUAACACAUGCAAGUCGAACGGAAAGGCCCUGCUUGCAGGGUACUCGAGUGGCGAACGGGAGAGUAACACGUGGGUGAUCUGCCCUGCACUUCGGGAUAAGCCUGGGAAACUGGGUCUAAUACCGGAUAGGAGCCAUUUUUAGUGUGAUGGUUGGAAAGUUUUUUCGGUGUAGGAUGAGCUCGCGGCCUAUCAGCUUGUUGGUGGGGUAAUGGCCUACCAAGGCGGCGACGGGUAGCCGGCCUGAGAGGGUGGACGGCCACAUUGGGACUGAGAUACGGCCCAGACUCCUACGUGAGGCAGCAGUGGGGAAUAUUGCACAAUGGGCGCAAGCCUGAUGCAGCGACGCCGCGUGGGGGAUGACGGCCUUCGGGUUGUAAACUCCUUUCGCUAGGGACGAAGCUUUUUGUGACGGUACCUAGAUAAGAAGCACCGGCUAACUACGUG